AUGGAUGCGCUCGAGCAACGCUACCGCCGGUACGUGCUGCUGGCCACGGCGGUUGGUGAUGGCGAGGAGAGCGUGACGCCGACAGCUCUUCUGGCAGCCUUGGAGGAGCGUUGCAGCGUGGUGGCGUCGGAGGUGGUCAUCGAGGUCGCGUGCCCCCCUCACGACCUGUGGCUCACCUUCUCAACGGAGGAGAAGUGCACCGAUGUGUUUUCGUCGAUGAAGUUCAAGUGCUGCCGCCGCUGGAUCCAGUUUACACGCUGGAGCAGAUUCAUUCGUGCUGAGCCGGGUGCUUUGGAGUAUAGGUGCAAGCUCAGCUUCGAAGGCCUCCCCAACCAAUCCUGGACGACGGAAUCGGUGAAAGCAGUUCUGAAAGACCUCGGUGGCGAACUCAUCAAGAUCCUGCCGCCGACAAACCGCCGCGAGCUCGAGGUAAUGGCCUGGCUUCGUGACCCGUUCUAUGUUGGCAAGUUGGUGACAGUUGAGAUACCUGAGCCAACUCUGUUUAACAAGCAACCUGAGUCGAUGGAUGAGUACGAAGCAAUGCAGUUUGAUUUGGGUGACUACGGGUCGUCGUCGCCAAAGAAGAAGAGGACACUGUUGUAUCCUAUUUUGUGCCAUAUGAAAGAGGUGAUUGAUCGUGGUCCUCUGCUAGCUGAGGACUUGCCUGCUGAGUGGCUACCAGCUGAAGGUGAAGACCUCAGUCGCAAGCACAUAUUCAAGACCGAGCUGGGAAAGAUAGAUGGGACUGGAGAGUCAGAAGCAGUUUGA
rnacentral:rRNA from 1 species